rnacentral:rRNA from 1 species
GUCGAACGAUGAUGCCCAGCUUGCUGGGCGGAUUAGUGGCGAACGGCUGAGUAAUACGUGAGUAACCUGCCCUUGACUCUGGGAUAAGCCUGGGAAACUGGGUCUAAUACUGGAUACUACCUCUUACCGCAUGGUGGGUGGUGGAAAGGGUUUUACUGGUUUUGGAUGGGCUCACGGCCUAUCAGCUUGUUGGUGGGGUAAUGGCUCACCAAGGCGACGACGGGUAGCCGGCCUGAGAGGGUGACCGGCCACACUGGGACUGAGACACGGCCCAGACUCCUACGGGAGGCAGCAGUGGGGAAUAUUGCACAAUGGGCGGAAGCCUGAUGCAGCGACGCCGCGUGAGGGAUGACGGCCUUCGGGUUGUAAACCUCUUUCAGUAGGGAAGAAGCGAGAGUGACGGUACCUGCAGAAGAAGCGCCGGCUAACUACGUGCCAGCAGCCGCGGUAAUACGUAGGGCGCAAGCGUUGUCCGGAAUUAUUGGGCGUAAAGAGCUCGUAGGCGGUUUGUCGCGUCUGCUGUGAAAGCCCGGGGCUCAACCCCGGGUCUGCAGUGGGUACGGGCAGACUAGAGUGCAGUAGGGGAGACUGGAAUUCCUGGUGUAGCGGUGAAAUGCGCAGAUAUCAGGAGGAACACCGAUGGCGAAGGCAGGUCUCUGGGCUGUUACUGACGCUGAGGAGCGAAAGCAUGGGGAGCGAACAGGAUUAGAUACCCUGGUAGUCCAUGCCGUAAACGUUGGGCACUAGGUGUGGGGGACAUUCCACGUUUUCCGCGCCGUAGCUAACGCAUUAAGUGCCCCGCCUGGGGAGUACGGCCGCAAGGCUAAAACUCAAAGGAAUUGACGGGGGCCCGCACAAGCGGCGGAGCAUGCGGAUUAAUUCGAUGCAACGCGAAGAACCUUACCAAGGCUUGACAUUCACCGGACCGCCCCAGAGAUGGGGUUUCCCUUCGGGGCUGGUGGACAGGUGGUGCAUGGUUGUCGUCAGCUCGUGUCGUGAGAUGUUGGGUUAAGUCCCGCAACGAGCGCAACCCUCGUUCUAUGUUGCCAGCACGUGAUGGUGGGGACUCAUAGGAGACUGCCGGGGUCAACUCGGAGGAAGGUGGGGAUGACGUCAAAUCAUCAUGCCCCUUAUGUCUUGGGCUUCACGCAUGCUACAAUGGCCGGUACAAAGGGUUGCGAUACUGUGAGGUGGAGCUAAUCCCAAAAAGCCGGUCUCAGUUCGGAUUGAGGUCUGCAACUCGACCUCAUGAAGUCGGAGUCGCUAGUAAUCGCAGAUCAGCAACGCUGCGGUGAAUACGUUCCCGGGCCUUGUACACACCGCCCGUCAAGUCACGAAAGUUGGUAACACCCGAAGCCGGUGGCCUAACCCCUUGUGGGAGGGAGC